GCGAACUGAUUAGAAGCUUGCUUCUAUGACGUUAGCGGCGGACGGGUGAGUAACACGUGGGCAACCUGCCUGUAAGACUGGGAUAACUUCGGGAAACCGAAGCUAAUACCGGAUAGGAUCUUCUCCUUCAUGGGAGAUGAUUGAAAGAUGGUUUCGGCUAUCACUUACAGAUGGGCCCGCGGUGCAUUAGCUAGUUGGUGAGGUAACGGCUCACCAAGGCAACGAUGCAUAGCCGACCUGAGAGGGUGAUCGGCCACACUGGGACUGAGACACGGCCCAGACUCCUACGGGAGGCAGCAGUAGGGAAUCUUCCGCAAUGGACGAAAGUCUGACGGAGCAACGCCGCGUGAGUGAUGAAGGCUUUCGGGUCGUAAAACUCUGUUGUUAGGGAAGAACAAGUACGAGAGUAACUGCUCGUACCUUGACGGUACCUAACCAGAAAGCCACGGCUAACUACGUGCCAGCAGCCGCGGUAAUACGUAGGUGGCAAGCGUUAUCCGGAAUUAUUGGGCGUAAAGCGCGCGCAGGCGGUUUCUUAAGUCUGAUGUGAAAGCCCACGGCUCAACCGUGGAGGGUCAUUGGAAACU
rnacentral:rRNA from 1 species